rnacentral:rRNA from 1 species
AUGGAUGACACCUUUAAGGCAAUUUUUUGGAACUUACGUGGUCUCAACAACUGGGCGAAAUGUGCGGCUGUUCGCUCUGUAAUCUCUUCGGCUUCCCCUUGUAUCAUUUGCAUCCAGGAAUCUAAACUAGCUUUGGUCUCGCCUGCGCUUGUAUGUGAAACUCUCGGCCCCGCUUUUGAUGGCUUCUUCUGGUUGCCCACGGAUGGCACCCACGGUGGCAUCAUUCUGGCUUGGAACAGUGCGAUGAUCUCCCUAGCUAACCCAAUCAUUGGCGAUCACCAUGUCUCGGCUGUCGUGUCUCCCACCGUCGGA